rnacentral:rRNA from 1 species
CGCUAGUAAUCGCGGAUCAGCACGCCGCGGUGAAUACGUUCCCGGGCCUUGUACACACCGCCCGUCACACCAUGAGAGUCUGUAACACCCAAAGCCGGUGGGAUAACCUUUAUAGGAGUCAGCCGUCUAAGGUAGGACAGAUGAUUAGGGUGAAGUCGUAACAAGGUAGC